rnacentral:rRNA from 1 species
UACGUAGGGGCAAGCGUUGUCCGGAAUUAUUGGGCGUAAAGCGCGCGCAGGCGGUUCUUUAAGUCUGGUGUAUAAGUGCGGGGCUCAACCCCGUGAGGCACUGGAAACUGGGAACUUGAGUGCAGAAGAGGAGAGCGGAAUUCCACGUGUAGCGGUGAAAUGCGUAGAGAUGUGGAGGAACACCAGUGGCGAAGGCGGCUCGUCUGGGACGG